UACGUAGGGUGCAAGCGUUGUCCGGAAUUAUUGGGCGUAAAGAGCUCGUAGGCGGUCUGUCGCGUCGGCUGUGAAAACCCGGGGCUCAACCCCGGGCCUGCAGUCGAUACGGGCAGACUAGAGUGUGGUAGGGGAGACUGGAAUUCCUGGUGUAGCGGUGAAAUGCGCAGAUAUCAGGAGGAACACCGGUGGCGAAGGCGGUUCUCUGGGCAUUACCUGACGCUGAGGAGCGAAAAGUGUGGGGGAGC
rnacentral:rRNA from 1 species